AGACAGCGAGAGGCCGAGAGCCCUCUGCACACGCGCGCAGCUGCGCUGCGCCCCUUCACUUCGUCUCGCCCGAGGCCAAUCCUCCCAGACACGCCCUCGACGCGUUCCCAGUUCCCACGAUAGCCUCCUCAGCCUUCACAUGCGCGCGCACUAUCCCCGCCUCAAACGCGCGAGCUAUGCAGCAGCGUCAGCCUGCGCUUCUUCCGGCAAUGCGCGACACGCGCUCCACGCGGCGGCGGCCGCUCCCGAUCACAGGCGUCGCGGCGGCGCGCCGCUCGGGCUCGGCGCGCCGGUCGAUCAGCGGCAACUCGGGUGCUCGCUCGGCGAGGGCCUCCGGCCGGGCGCGCUCGAGCUCGCCGCGGCGAUCAGGUCGGCCUCGGCGCUCCCGGAUGGCGGCGGCGCCCUCUCCCUCGGGAGGUGCCUCCACGGGCUCGCCGUGAAGGCCGGGCGCGUGGCGAGCAGCGCGGCGGUGGCGAAGGCGGUCAUGGACAUGUACGGGAGGUCGGGGGACCUCGUGGACGCCCGCCUGGUGUUCGACGAAAUGGCGCGCCCCGACUCCGUCUGCUGGAACAUCCUCAUCACCGCGUCCUCCCGCGGCGGGCGCUUGGAGGACGCGUUCGGUCUGUUCAGGUCGAUGCUCGCUUGCGGGGUGGCGCAGAGCAUGCCGACCGCGGUGACGGUGGCUGUGAUUGUUCCGGCAUGCGCGAAGGGGAGGCAUCUGCAAACUGGCAGGAGCGUCCAUGGGUACGUGGUCAAAACUGGCUUGGAAUCAGAUACUCUGUGUGGUAACGCAAUGGUGUCAAUGUAUGCAAAGUAUGGUGGAAGCAGGGCAAUGGAUGAUGCACAUAGAGCGUUCUCCUCGAUUCGUUGUAAGGAUGUUGUUUCAUGGAAUUCAAUCAUUGCAGGGUACAUAGAGAAUGGGUUAUUUCAGGAGGCACUUGUGCUGUUCAGCCAGAUGAUCUCACAGGGAUUUCUUCCAAAUUAUUCAACAGUAGCUAACAUUCUUCCCAUGUGCGCAUUCACGGAGUUUGGGAGGUAUCAUGGGAAAGAAGUGCAUGGUUUCGUGGUCCGGCAUGGUUUGGAAAUGGAUAUAUCUGUUUGCAAUGCACUGAUGAUACAUUAUUCCAAAGUGUUUGAAUUGAAGGCUUUGGAGUCAGUAUUUGCGAGUAUGGAUGUGAGGGAUAUCGUUACAUGGAACACCGUCAUUGCGGGAUAUGUGAUGAAUGGGUAUCACUCUAGGGCGCUAGACCUGUUUCAGGGGCUUCUGUCCACAGGAAUCCCUCCUAAUUCUGUUUCUUUUAUCAGUCUGCUCACUGCUUGUGCUCAGUUACGUGAUGUCAAAGCAGGGAUUGGGGUUCACGGUUAUAUCCUCCGAAGGCCAGUACUUCUUCAAGAAACAUCCUUAAUGAAUGCUCUCGUCACAUUUUAUAGCCAGUGUGACAGGUUUGAUGAUGCUUUCCGUUCUUUCACUGAUAUUCUGAACAAAGAUUUAAUAUCAUGGAAUGCAAUUCUAUCUGCUUGUGCCAACAGUGAAAAACGUAUUGAGGAAUUCAUUAGAUUGUUGGGUGAAAUGAGCCAUCAGUGGGAUUCAGUCACAGUCUUGAAUGUUAUACGCAUGAGUGCCUUCUGCGGGAUUAAGAGGGUUCGUGAAGCUCAUGGCUGGUCCCUACGAGUCGGUUAUACAGGUGAAACUUCAGUAGCAAAUGCUAUUCUGGAUGCUUAUGUGAAGUGUUGCUGUUCACAGGAUGCAAGCAUACUUUUCAGAAACCUUGCUGAGCGGAACAUUGUAACUGACAAUAUAAUGAUUUCUUGCUACAUGAAAAAUAACUGUAUAGAGGAUGCUGAGGUGAUCUUCAACCAUAUGGCUGAGAAAGACUUGACUUCAUGGAAUCUGAUGAUCCAGUUGUAUGCACAAAAUGACAUGGAUGAUCAAGCUUUCAGUCUGUUUAAUCACUUGCAAUCUGAAGGAUUGAAACCUGAUGUUGUCAGCAUUACAAGCAUUCUUGAGGCUUGCAUCCACUUGUGUUCUGUACAGCUUGUGAGACAAUGCCAUACCUACAUGCUCAGAGCAUCCCUAGAAGACAUCCAUCUUGAAGGGGCUCUUCUUGAUGCGUACUCAAAGUGCGGCAACAUAACCAAUGCAUACAACAUCUUUCAAGUCAGCCCGAAGAAGGAUCUUAUCACAUUCACUGCCAUGAUUGGAUGUUAUGCGAUGCAUGGAAUGGCAGAAGAGGCAGUAGAAUUGUUCUCUAAAAUGCUUAAAAUUGACAUUAGGCCAGACCAUGUAGUUCUCACCACACUGCUGUCAGCAUGCAGUCAUGCAGGCCUGGUUGAUGCAGGCAUCAAGAUUUUCAAGUCCAUCAGAGAGAUUCACAGAGUUGAACCUACAGCUGAACACUAUGCUUGUAUGGUUGACCUUCUUGCCCGUAGUGGACGUCUCCAAGAUGCAUAUAUCUUUGCCUUGGAUAUGCCCCCUCACGUAGUCAAUGCCAAUGCAUGGGGCUCCCUGCUAGGGGCAUGCAAGGUCCAUGGGGAGGUCGAAAUUGGCCAACUUGCAGCUGAUCACCUGUUCUCUAUGGAGGCAGGGGACAUCGGGAACUAUGUCAUUAUGUCAAACAUCUAUGCAGCUGAUGAGAAGUGGGAUGGUGUUGAGAGUGUCAGGAAACUGAUGAAGUCCAAGGAUAUGAAGAAACCUGCAGGAUGCAGCUGGAUUGAGGUUGAUAAGACCAGGCAUUUAUUCAUAGCCAGUGAUGUUAAGCACCAAGAUAGGUCUUGUAUCUAUGAUAUGUUAGGAAGUUUGUAUCAGCAGAUCAAAGAUACGCAGACACAGAACAUGGCAACGGUGAAAUCUAUGUGACCACAUGCUGCGGAAACUGGAAGUCGGGUGCUCUUUGUCAAAUAUAUGCUUAUUGGCUUGCCUGGCUGAUGGCAGGACUCCCACUUCCUGUCUGCAAACUAGGGAUGAAUGUGUGUUUGACUGACUGAGUGGUAAGAAUGGGGAUUUACAGUUGUCAUAUGUUCAGAAACAGUAUGCAUCUUCACGCCCUAGUAUAUGGUGCAUACCGUACACACUUCAAGUGUGUCAACUCUCUACACUGUCAAUACUCAAUAGCAUCUCCAUGGGCAGACUCUGACCGGAGAUCUGAAGAUCUGAAUUUUUCAUAGUUCCAGUGCCUGGGCCUUAAUGUGAGUGAAAUUUCAGUGGGAAACUUUAUCCAAUUGCUCCAGAAAGCCGCUUUCAAGAAAUAAGCAUGCGGGACUCCUGAACCCACUAUGUUUCAGAAGUUCCACCAAUUUUGGAUCAGAUUGGAGAGGGGUAUCUUCAGACCCAAGAUCGAAUUGCUCAAGUUGAUCACCAACUGGUGGAUCCAGUUCAAAGAGCAAGCCAAAAAGCAAGUUGUUGUGGUCACUGGUCUGUGGUACGCUCAAUAGUUGCUGAUCAUGUUCUUCCGCUCUGCUGCUAAGACAAACUGUUUGCAGAUUUCUUCUCAACGCAUUGUGAUAAGGAGCUUGAUCUUUGAGAACGAAGCUGCAGGGCAGAGCUGUGUCUCAAGUCGGAAGCCGAAUCCACCACGAACACGAACCAAACCAAUGGGUCCAGCCGUCCAGGGCACGUGUUUUUUUUCUUCUUCCAGAAAUACCCCUGGCCGCUGUGGCGCUGUCCACGAAAUUUCGAGCCCGAACAGGUCACCAACCAAACUCGGGGUGGGGGAAGACCGUUCGGCCGUACUGCUAUAAUAUCCCUCCCCUCCCACGAAGCUGUUCGCCUGUUCCCCUUCGCGGCCCGCGGAGAAACGGAAAAAAAAAAUCGAUUCCCCUUUGCUUUGCUCACCGGUAACCUCCGCCGCCGUUGAUGGAUUUCGGAAGGACCAAAUCCGCCGCCGCCGUAACACUGACGCUCGAAGCGACCUCCUGCCCGUCCGGUCUGCCCUUCUCGUCCACCGCCACGCCGUGGUUCCGGGAGCUGUGGGUCAACGCCUCCAAAUAACGGGUCUCC